GCUAAAAAAAAUCUGUGACGGAGGCUGUGAAAAAUCAGUUUGGGAGUCUCUGCUCUGAUGGGCUAACUUCGUCGCUUUGGAACGAUAGAGCAAAACAAAACAGAAGAAAAUUCGCUUUUGCUUCUUCAGUCUUCGUCCUUCAGUUUUUGAUCACGAACGCGCGUGCGAAUGUUAUCGCGUUUUUCCCGGAUAUAGUCGAAGAUUAUAUUAUUUGUGAAAAAAAAGUUGAAGUAUUUGUGCAAUCAGUGUUUGAAAGCUACAUCUCAGGCAAAAGGUGUCAUCUAGACCAGAUUCUGCUUAAGGUGGAAAGCAACUGGUUGGAUAUUGAUAUGCUUUUUAAUUGGAGAUCACGCAGUAAGUAU